rnacentral:rRNA from 1 species
AUUGAACGCUGGCGGCAUGCCUAACACAUGCAAGUCGAACGGCAGCGCGGGGGCAACCCUGGCGGCGAGUGGCGGACGGGUGAGGAAUGCAUAGGAAUCUGCCCGGUUGUGGGGGAUAACGUAGGGAAACUUACGCUAAUACCGCAUACGACCUUCGGGUGAAAGUGGGGGACCUUCGGGCCUCACGCGAUCGGAUGAGCCUAUGCCCGAUUAGCUAGUUGGCGGGGUAAGAGCCCACCAAGGCGACGAUCGGUAGCUGGUCUGAGAGGAUGAUCAGCCACACUGGGACUGAGACACGGCCCAGACUCCUACGGGAGGCAGCAGUGGGGAAUAUUGGACAAUGGGCGCAAGCCUGAUCCAGCAAUGCUGCGUGUGUGAAGAAGGCCUUCGGGUUGUAAAGCACUUUUGUUCGGGAAGAAAUCCGUGUGGUUAAUACCCGUACGGGAUGACGGUACCGAAAGAAUAAGCACCGGCUAACUUCGUG